rnacentral:rRNA from 1 species
CGUACACUCCUGCGGGAGGCAGCAGUGGGGAAUAUUGGACAAUGGGCGCAAGCCUGAUCCAGCCAUGCCGCGUGAGUGAUGAAGGCCCUAGGGUUGUAAAGCUCUUUCACCGGUGAAGAUAAUGACGGUAACCGGAGAAGAAGCCCCGGCUAACUUCGUGCCAGCAGCCGCGGUAAUACGAAGGGGGCUAGCGUUGUUCGGAUUUACUGGGCGUAAAGCGCAUGUAGGCGGACUAUUAAGUCAGGGGUGAAAUCCCGGGGCUCAACCCCGGAACUGCCUUUGAUACUGGUAGUCUUGAGUUCGAGAGAGGUGAGUGGAAUUCCGAGUGUAGAGGUGAAAUUCGUAGAUAUUCGGAGGAACACCAGUGGCGAAGGCGGCUCACUGGCUCGAUACUGACGCUGAGGUGCGAAAGCGUGGGGAGCAAACAGGAUUAGAUACCCGUGUAGUCCCAU